rnacentral:rRNA from 1 species
UGAGGGAAUAUUGGGUCAAUGGGCGCAGGCCUGAACCAGCCAAGUCGCGUGAGGGAAGACGGUCCUACGGAUUGUAAACCUCUUUUGUCGGGGAGUAACGUGCGGGACGCGUCCCGUAUUGAGAGUACCCGAAGAAAAAGCAUCGGCUAACUCCGUGCCAGCAGCCGCGGUAAUACGGAGGAUGCGAGCGUUAUCCGGAUUUAUUGGGUUUAAAGGGUGCGCAGGCGGCGCGCCAAGUCAGCGGUGAAAGUUUGCGGCUCAACCGUAAAAUUGCCGUUGAAACUGGCGUUCUUGAGCGUAAACGAGGUAGGCGGAAUGUGACGUGUAGCGGUGAAAUGCUUAGAUAUGUCACAGAACCCCGAUUGCGAAGGCAGCUUACCAGCAUACAACUGACGCUGAGGCACGAAAGCGUGGGUAUCAAACAGGAUUAGAUACCCUGGUAGU